rnacentral:rRNA from 1 species
CCUACGGGAGGCUGCAGUGGGGACUAUUGCACAAUGGGGGAAACCCUGAUGCAGCGACGCCGCGUGAGUGAAGAAGUAUCUCGGUACGUAAAGCCCUAUCAGCAGGGAAGAAAAUGACGGUACCUGACUAAGAAGCACCGGCUAACUACGUGCCAGCAGCCGCGGUAAUACGUAGGGGGCAAGCGUUAUCCGGAUUUACUGGGUGUAAAGGGAGCGUAGACGGCAGCACAAGUCUGAGGUGAAAUCCCGGGGCUUAACCCUGGAACUGCAUUGGAAACUGUGCGGCGUGAGUACAGGAGGGGUAGGCGGAAUUCGUGGUGUAGGGGUGAAAUGCGUAGAUAUUAAGAGGAACACCGAUGGCGAAGGCGGCUUACUGGACUGUAACUGACGUUGAUGCUCGAAAGCGUGGGGAGCAAACAGGAUUAGAUACCCCAGUAGUC